rnacentral:lncRNA from 1 species
AUCCAGCUAUCUCUGCACACACUCCCCUUUAUUAGUGGAAUAUUAAUUCCUAUUUAUUAGUGGAAUAUUAACUCCCUAUGCCAGCUAGACAAUCAUUAUUUUUCUGCAUCCCCUUUCUUAUUCUUUCUCACAUAUACUUGCCAUUGCUUAGGCCCCACCUCAUCUCUAUUUACUAAGAGAUCCCCCUCAUCACUUGUGGGGCCCAGCCCAUUCCUAUCA